AAUAAAGUGACUGAAGUUUAAGUGGUAGAUUGUAAAUCUAUAAAUGAGGUUAUACUCCUUUAUUA
rnacentral:tRNA from 1 species